AGCGGAAGUGAUCUUUCAGUGCCACACUUGGCUUCUUCCUGCAAGCCAUUUCCAGCGUCCAUGCUGGUGAGGUCCGUAUGGAUCCUACCGGCGUUCUGGGUGGCGACCCAAGCCCCUAGAGUGGGAAUUGCACGACAUCGCCUCGCGUCGCCGUAGAGUUGAAUUAGAUGAGCGUGCCCUGGUGCACAAAUUUAAGGAAGAAGUGGAGGGGGGGUGUGGAAGACACAGAGGAAAGGCCAUGUAAGGACACAGCCAGAAGGCAGUCAUCCAUAAGCCAGUUACAGAGGCAUCACCAGAAACCAACUUUACUGACACCUUGACCUUGGAUGUCCAGCCUCAAAAAAUAUGAGAAAAGACAUUUUUAUUGUUCAAACCA